rnacentral:rRNA from 1 species
UGCGUAGGCGGCUUUUUAAGUUUGGUGUGAAAUCUCCCGGCUCAACUGGGAGGGUGCGCCGAAUACUGAGAGGCUAGAGUGUGGGAGAGGAAAGUGGAAUUCCUGGUGUAGCGGUGAAAUGCGUAGAUAUCAGGAGGAACACCGGUGGUGUAAACGGCUUUCUGGACCAUAACUGACGCUGAGGCACGAAAGCGUGGGUAGCAAACAGGAUUAGAUACCCUGGUAGUCCACGCCAUAAACGAUGCAUAUUUGGUGUGGGCCAUUCAUUUGGUCUGUGCCGGAGCUAACGCGUUAAAUAUGCCGCCUGGGGAGUACAGUCGCAAGGCUGAA